rnacentral:misc_RNA from 1 species
GUAGGUGAACCUGCGGAAGGAUCAUUACAGUAGUCGCCCGGGUUGCCGCAAGGCCUCCCGGGUAACCUACCACCCUUUGUUUAUUACACUUUGUUGCUUUGGCAAGCCUGCCCUCGGGCUGCUGGCUCCGGCCGGCGAGCGCUUGCCAGAGGACCUAAACUCUGUUUGUUAAUAUUGUCUGAGUACUAUAUAAUAGUUAAAACUUUCAACAACGGAUCUCUUGGCUCUC